GACGAACGCUGGCGGCGUGCCUAAUACAUGCAAGUAGAACGCACAGUUUAUACCGUAGCUUGCUACACCAUAGACUGUGAGUUGCGAACGGGUGAGUAACGCGUAGGUAACCUGCCUGGUAGCGGGGGAUAACUAUUGGAAACGAUAGCUAAUACCGCAUAAUAUUAAUUAUUGCAUGAUAAUUAAUUGAAAGGUGCAAUUGCACCACUACCAGAUGGACCUGCGUUGUAUUAGCUAGUAGGUGAGGUAACGGCUCACCUAGGCGACGAUACAUAGCCGACCUGAGAGGGUGAUCGGCCACACUGGGACUGAGACACGGCCCAGACUCCUACGGGGGGCAGCAGGAGGGAAUCUUCGGCAAUGGGCGGAAGUCUGACCGAGCAACGCCGCGUGAGUGAAGGAGGGUCUCGGAUCGGAAAGCUCUGUUGUAAGGGAAGAACGGGUAUGAGAGUGGAAAGUUCACACUGUGACGGUAUCUUACCAGAAAGGGACGGCUAACUACGUG
rnacentral:rRNA from 1 species